rnacentral:rRNA from 1 species
UGCCAGCCGCCGCGGUAAUACGGAGGGUGCAAGCGUUGUUCGGAAUUAUCGGGCGUAAAGCGCGUGUAGGCGGUUCGUUAAGUCUGAUGUGAAAGCCCGGGGCUCAACCUGGGAAUUGCAUACGAUACUGAUCGACUAGAGUACGAGAGAGGGAGGUAGAAUUCCACGUGUAGCGGUGAAAUGCGUAGAUAUGUGGAGGAACAUCAGUGGCGAAGGCGACUACCUGGACUGAUAUUGACGCUGAGGUGCGAAAGCGUGGGGAGCAAACAGGAUUAGAUA